rnacentral:rRNA from 1 species
GUUGGAAUCCGCUUUGGACUGUGUAACAACCCACCUGCCGAUUU